CUCCGAGUGGUGACGGCGCAGGCCCGGCGCCCAGGGGGAGCUCAGAGACGCCUGCCGGGCUGCAUUGCCCGCUAUGCGGAGCCAGAUAGAAUCUUGCUAAACUGCCCAGGCUGAACUUGAACUCAUGGUCUUCUGCCUCAGUCUCCAGAGGAGCUAGACUUACAGAAUGUAGUCCCUGAGAGCUUUUUUUUCUUUUUUCGGUACCGGGGAUCAAACUCAAGGGACCUUGUGCUUGCGAGGCAGGAGGCGGAACCUCUGGGCUAAAUCUCCGGCCUUCCUGAGAGCUUAUUUUGUGAUUCUCGGUGGUUAGAAUAAUGCCUGACUCAAGAGAGACUCAGUAUUUAACACAGGUUGAAUUAAUAAACCACAGAUAUCCAGAUCAAUAAGUAGCUUUUGUUUCUGCCUCACGAGGACUGCUCUCCUAGUCUGAUCAUGUAGCAAAGUAGGCGAGUAACUGCUGUCACCUGGAGAGGCC
rnacentral:lncRNA from 1 species